rnacentral:lncRNA from 1 species
CAGGAGGAAACACAGAGGGAUUAAGGAGAGAGCAUUAACAACAUCAGCUGAGGGAUUCCACCUUCUUGGAGUGUUUGGAAAGAAGCAUGACUGGGGCACACAUGUGGCCAUGAAGCUCGGCAUUCUCAGCACAAUGCCUGUGUUGAGGCAAGAAGCCUCUGUUUCUGCACUGCUGCAGUGAUGAGAUCCGUUAUUUGUCCAGGAGUUUCUCUUCUUCACAUGAAUAGAAAAGCAUACUUCAAAAUUUAGAGAGAUUGAAAAUUCCUGUUCACCCUGAACAACGAAAGAAUAGUGCACACUCCAGGACAACCCAGACAGAAAACUGCUGCUCAGAUGUCUGACUGUGAAGCUAGAACAGACAGCUUACACAACUGUCUUACAGGCGAAAUGGUCAAAAUGGAUGAAGAGGGAGAGAGGCAACCUCUGAGGGGUCCUGACCUAGUGCUAAAACAAUGCCUUGGGAACUGCCUGCAGCCCAGCAGCGCCUUAUGGCACUGCUUGACCAGAUGUCAUUUGAGAUCGGCAGUGGACCACAGGAGAAGGGAUGUGCAUCCAGGUAAAAGCCGCACUGUGCCACACAGGUCAAUGAAUCCAUGCUAGACUUCCUUGGAAGAGAACUGCAGAGUCAAGUACUCUCCACUGAAAAUGUCUCACCAGCGACUGCUAGACAAUUAAACCAGGGGGACUUCCUGCUCAGGUACCUCCCCAGGACAGAAGAGGUCAACAGGAAGACAAAAUGGAAAAAGAGGGGUUCCAAACUAUUUAACUGCUGUGCUCCAUUAGAAGUGCAGGUGAGCUGUACUGUCCUGGGACAGAAUGCCUCAGAGGCUGUCUCACUGACAGCUUGCUAGCCCAUGGAAGAGGAAUUAUCCCAUUCUAAUAAUCAAGAAUAUAAUACUUAUCUCACCACACUGCCCAAGAUGGACAUAGGGUGCUAAUGCUCUGUGGAAGGACAGGCACUUGCUGAGAACUCUGUUCCCUCAGGUUCAACACAUCCAGUCAUACUCCUUAAACAUCAGGUCCAUCUCACCCAAAUCAAAACUCAGUGCAUUUUCUUAUGUUUCCCUCUCAUUUUCAUGUCUCUGAAGCUCAGGUGGGGUUUUGAAUGACAAAAACGUAUCUCCUCUGAGACCAAACUGUUUCCAAGCACCAUGAUGGUGCCUCCAUGGCUCAAAUUGUUUCAACACCUCACUUACCAAAAGGGCACAGGAAAUCUCUAGAGAAAGAGUAAGCUGGGAAAAGAGAGCCUGUAUACCAUAUAUUUGUGACAAUCAGUUUUUCCCACUGUCUCCUAGACUCAACAAAAGUUGAUGAUAGGAUACUACAAGGAAGAAAAACAAAACUAUAUAACAA